rnacentral:rRNA from 1 species
GAUACCGCCGUCUUGAAACACGGACCAAGGAGUCUAGCGUAUGUGCGAGUCAAAGGGCCAAAUUUAAUACUAAACCCCACGGCGCAGUAAAGCAAAAUGUUAACCCGGUAAAACGGAGCAGUUUGAGGCGGCUGUGAUUCUUCGGAUGAUCGGUCCGACCUAGAGCACAUACGAUAGGACCCGAAAGAUGGUGAUCUUUGCCUGGGUAGGAUGAAGCCAGGGGAAACCCUGGUGGAAGUCCGAAGCGUUGCUGACGUGCAAAUCGCUCGUCAAACCUGGGUAAAGGGACUAAAGCUCCAUCGAACCAUCUAGUAGCUGGUUCCCUCCGAAGUUUCUCUCAGGAUAGCUGGCCGACGAUAUGUGUUGUUGUGGGCGGUAGAGCGAAUGACUAGCAUGUUGGGGGAGUGACUCUCCUCCGGAUGAUUCUCAAACUCUAAAUGCCCAUGCGUAAAGAGACUGGGGGCGUAACUGCCCUGGACCUAAUCUCACACAUUGAAAAACGUCGGCCGUGUGGGCCACUUUUGGUAAGCAGAACUGGCGAUGCGGGAUGAACCGCACGUCCGUCUAAGGCGCCCAAAUGCCCGCUCACAGACCCCAAGAAAGGUGUUGAUCCAUAUAGACAGCAGGACGGUGGCCAUGGAAGUUGGAAUCCGCUAAGGAGUGUGUAAAAACUCACCUGCCGAAUGGGUUAGCCCUGAAAAUGGAUGGCGCUGAAGCGGGUUGCCGAUGGCGGACCGUUCGGACCGUAAUGCAUUGUAAAAACCAAAAGUAUAAAAAAAAACUCCAUAUCCGAAUGAGUAGGAGGGCGUGGAGGUUGCGACGAAGCGUGCGGGGUAACCUGGCGUGGAGCGGCCUCUAGUGCAGAUCUUGGUGAUAGUAGCAAAUAUUCAGGUGAGAUCCCUGAAGGACGAAGCGGGGAAGGGUUCCACGCGAACAUUGAUUGUCCGUGGGUGAGUCGUACCUAAGCCGAGUGGUCAUGGCUGCUAAAGGCGAAAGGGAGGCAGGUUGAUAUUCCUGAACUCGGAUGUAGUUGAACGCGGUGACGCACUUCUUUGGGGUGGUGACAUCGGUGAACUCGCUGGGCAGAGUUUUCUUCUCUGUUUGACGCGUACCGCGCUGUGUGGAGGCCGAUUAUCGGGAGAAGCACGCGUGAUGAGGCAGAGCUCCGCGAGAUAUUUGCGGGGUCCGGCUCGAGAUCAUCGGUCCUUGAAAAACCACUUGCUGGGUCGUAGGGGUGGAAUAGGGGCUCUUUCUUUCGGGGGAGGGUCACCUAGUUCACGCUAAACU